rnacentral:misc_RNA from 1 species
UCUCCAGAUCACUCAGCAGACAAAACUGCAAUCUCUUCUCUCUGUCAAGUAUGCACUCGACUCGCCAUAUUUUGCGUCAACGAGCGGUCCUCGUCACCGGGGCGAGGACGCCGUUUGUCAAGUCCUUUGGGGCUCUGAUGAAGGCAGACACGCUGGAGCUGGCGAGUGCAUCCGUAGCCGGUCUCCUCAACAAGACGUCGCUGGAUCCCAGAGACAUUGACCACAUUGUGUGGGGCAACGUGGUGCUUCAAGGAAGCGCUCACAACUGCGCGCGCGAGAUAGUGAUUGAUCUGAACAUGCCGAAGAAGAUCAUCGGCAAUCUCACAAGCAUGGCGUGCGCGAGUGGACUUAGCUCGCUCUCGCAGGCAUGCAUGCUGAUCGAGGGUGGGCAUGCUGAUGUCGUUAUUGCCGGUGGGAGCGACAGUGUGAGCAAUACAGAGGUCCCACUGCCACGCUCCGUGACGUACGGGCUGAUGAUGGCCCAGAGGAAGGGCGUCAUGGGCUUCUUCAAGGAAGCGGGCUACAAUCCGUUCAAGUGGUUUCCGGGCGGCAUUGCGCUGACAGAGCGGAGCACUGGAAAGACCAUGGGGUGGCACGGGGAUCUCAUUGCGGAGCUCAACAGCAUCUCGCGCGAGGACCAGGAGGCUCUGGCGGUGGCUUCGCACGCUAAUGCCGCCCGGGCUGAAAAGGCGGGGUACUUCAAAGAGGAAAUUGUCCCUGUCACGAUUGAUAAGAAAGGUAAGAAGACCGAGGUGACCUGCGACGACGUUAUGCAGCGCGACACUGAGAAAAUGAAAGCCAAAAUGCCAAGCCUCAAGCCCGUUUUUCGAAAGGAGGGAGGAACCAUCACGGCUGCCACGUCAAGCACCUUGACAGAUGGAGGUAGCGCGAUGCUCGUCAUGUCUGAGGAGAAGGCGAAGAAGCUUGGAUACCCGACCGAUGUUUGUGUCAAGAGCUGGUACUUCUCCGGAAUCGAUCCUUAUCCGCAGCUCCUUCUCGCACCUGUUCUGGGCUGGGGCCCAGCGCUGAAGAAGGCGGGCCUGACGCCGAAGGACAUCGAUCUCUACGAGAUCCACGAAGCCUUUGCGGCUCAGGUGCUCGCGACGAUCAAGUGCCUGAAGUCGCAGGAGUUCUUUGACCGGUACGCUAACGGCGCCAAACCUGUUCUAACGGAAGACAUCGACUUAUCGAAGCUGAACGUGAAUGGCGGGUCCCUGGCACUGGGUCACCCGUUCGCUGCAACUGGUGGUCGGAUUGUGACCUCGCUUGCCAAUGAGCUGCGACGGUCCGGCAAGCGCCAUGGCCUUGUGAGCAUUUGCGCUGCUGGCGGUCUCGGCGGCGUUGCUAUUCUAGAGCACACUCCGAAGAAGUGAUUUCCGUGGAGGUAGCCAAAGACGCGCAUGCUUUAAUUUCAGCUGUGCAAGCAAAGAAAAUGCUUGCAUUCUUUUUCGACCAUUUUUCUUUUGCUUAUGCAAUUUCAGAUCUACUUUCACGCAGUUGAUAGCGUCUACAGCACUUGUUAUUUGCCAG